AGAGAGAGACAUGCGCGCAUAUCAAUAAGCGGAGGAAAAGAAACUAACAAGGAUUCCCUAGUAACGGCGAGUGAAGCGGGAAGAGCUCAAAUUUGAAAUCUUAAAGGUUUUCCCUUGACGAAUUGUAGUUUAAAGAAGUGUUUUCUGUUGAGGUUUUGGUAAAAGUUCUUUGGAAUAGGACAUCAUAGAGGGUGAGAAUCCCGUAUUUGACCAUUUACUUUCAAGCUUUGUGAUACACUUUCAAAGAGUCGGAUUGUUUGGGAAUGCAGUCCAAAAUGGGUGGUAAAUUUCAUCUAAAGCUAAAUAUUGGCGAGAGACCGAUAGCGAACAAGUACCGUGAGGGAAAGGAUGAAAAGAACUUUGAAAAGAGAGUUAAACAGUACGUGAAAUUGUCAAAAGGGAAGCGUUUGACACCAGUGUUGUUUUUCUGAAAAUCAAUUAAAGAACUGUUUAUGCUAAGUUGUUUAGACUUUAUCAGCUAACUGUUUAGUUUUGAGCUUUUCUUUAAUGCACUUUUCAGUUAACAAGUCAACAUCAAUUUCUUUUGCUGUAAAAAAGCUUGAGGAAGGUGGCUUGAGAUUCGUCUUAAGUGUUUAUAGCCUCUUGCCUAUGCAGUCGGAGAGAUUGAGGUCUGCAGCGUAGAUCCUUCGGGGCUAAAUGCAUUUGUGCUAAGUUAUAGCAUUUUAUAGACAACUUGUUGACUAUGAUUUGUCUUGUAGCUUACUCGCUUAUGUUAUUUUACCUACGCUUAGGAUGUUGAGCGCAUGUCUCUCUCU
rnacentral:rRNA from 1 species